rnacentral:rRNA from 1 species
UUCCUCCUACGGGACGCAGCAGUGGGGAAUAUUGGGCAAUGGGCGCAAGCCUGACCCAGCAACGCCGCGUGAAGGAAGAAGGCUUUCGGGUUGUAAACUUCUUUUCUUGGGGACGAAGAAAGUGACGGUACCCAAGGAAUAAGCCACGGCUAACUACGUGCCAGCAGCCGCGGUAAUACGUAGGUGGCAAGCGUUGUUCGGAAUAACUGGGCGUAAAGGAUGCGUAGGCGGUUAAA